rnacentral:rRNA from 1 species
GAGACAGCAUCGCCGCGGGAAUACAGAGGGUGCAAGCGUUAAUCGGAAUUACUGGGCGUAAAGCGCGCGUAGGUGGUUUGUUAAGUUGGAUGUGAAAUCCCCGGGCUCAACCUGGGAACUGCAUCCAAAACUGGCAAGCUAGAGUAUGGUAGAGGGUGGUGGAAUUUCCUGUGUAGCGGUGAAAUGCGUAGAUAUAGGAAGGAACACCAGUGGCGAAGGCGACCACCUGGACUGAUACUGACACUGAGGUGCGAAAGCGUGGGGAGCAAACAGGAUUAGAUACCCGUGUAGUCCCUGUCUCUUAUACA